GUAUCUGAAGUCUGACGAGGAUGAGAACCUCCGGGGGCAAGAGGUUCGAUUCGAGCGAAGCGAGAGAACGUUGCGUCAGCAACGGCCCGCAGGGCGAGCCACGCAGUGGCGAGUCAUCCUCUGUCACCGGCAG
rnacentral:sRNA from 1 species